AAUCAUCUUUAAUGUAUUUUUAAUAAUUUUUUGCCUCGUUUACCAGAUAAAUCAUCUAAAUAAAUAGAUGCUGUACAGUCUCUUACCAAUAUCAGUACAAAAAUAAACCCACACUCUGCAUCCGCUCUAGCUCUCCCUGCACACGCGCACUCAGCAAAGGCAUGUGCUUGAACCGACUCGCGCCCCCAACCCUCCCGAAUACAUUCAUGUAGUCAGAACAAAGCUUGAUGCUCAUUCUGUGCAAAGGCAGCGUUCUUGUGCUGAGACCUGGAGGCCAGGCUGGCCGGUUAUGAAGCAAAAGCUAAACCAAGCGAAGCGCCUUCCCCCAGGCCGGGAGUGGAGAAGGAGGCUGGCCCUGGGGCCACCAUCCUAGGAGCGGCGGGUGGUCCUCGAGGGGCCCGGUCCUCGAGGGGCAGCAUUACAAGCGGCUGUGCCAGGGGCGGAGAACAUUCUCCUGGCCCCACCCCCCAGCAAAAGAAAAAUACCAACCGGUCUCUCUACAUUCAAAGCAGGUGGGGGGCUGCGGGAAGGAAAGACAGGUGGUCCAGCUUUUUCGAACCCCCCCCCCGUGAGUACUGGCCUUCUAGGGUGGCAGGAGAGUGGGGAGGCAGGUCAUGCCCACCUUGCCCCCUCACCCUAGCCCCGCUGGGAUGCUCGGGGCUGGAGGAGGCCUUCAAGGCUGCUCCCAACCCCUCAUAGAGGUCUCGGUUCUGGGUCCUGGGUGGGAGGGUCCUAACCCCCUGCAGCCCGGCCCCCAGGCCGCCUCUGCUCCCAGGGCUCAGCCCUCCCAGAGGCCAUGAAGGGCUGAGAGAGGCAAGCAGUGCUCUGCUCCAGCGGGGCCUCACCCCACACAAGGGCCGCCCCCUCCCCCAAACCUGCAAACUGCAUGAACAGCUCCUCCAAGUGAGGCAGGAGGAGGCCCAUGUCCCCUGGGGGGUGGGGACUGUGACAUCUACUGGAAGCUGCCAGUCCCAAGGCCAGAGUCCCUGCCCCCCCCCCCCCCGCCUCUGCUGGGGGCCCCUGAACUGGGACAGCCUCCAACCCAGGAUGCCAUCCUGUCCCCUGGUCACCCGCCACAUACUCCUCUAGACUCAACCCCCUAAGCCGGGGGUGAGUCAGGGGGAGGGCGCGAUCCCCCAAUGGAAGCACUGAAUUGACCCUGGACAACAGAGGAUUGAGGAGGAGGAGGAGACAGAGGCUCAGGGUUCUGGGAUCUUGCCAGCAGGCCGCCCAAAUAAAAAUUGGGUGCAGGCUGUCUUUGGUUCGGGAACUUGGGAAGAAGGGGUCUAGGGGAACACUGCCCUAUCCGAGCCUCAGAAAGAUUCUGCUGACUUCCUCCGGACAAAGCAGAAUGUGGCACAGCCCUGGGGGAGGGGACAACGCGGAGCGGGGAGGGAGCCAGGCUUUCACUUGCUCCCCUGGUGCCCACCCCAAUCUGGCUUUUUCACCCCUAUAGGGACUGACAGGGGAGAGAAGUCCCUCCUCACUGCCAGGGGAGCAACUACCUCUGUGCAAACUAGAAAUGGAGCACCCCCUCCCGGCAGACACAGCCCCCAGCCGGGGUGUGGGGCUUGUGUGUAGCCUGAACCACCAUCCGCUGCGGCCCGACCACAGGAAGACAUGGCAGAGGUGCCCCCACAAGAGAGCAAGGUUAGCCCCAGCUGCAGCAUUGCGGGUGGACGGGGAGGAGACACAGAGUGGAAGGAGGAAGGGUGUCCGGAGGUCAAGGGCUGCCCUGAGAAGGUGGUGGGAUGCUCCCUCCCUCGCUGACCACCCACACCCAAGUCUGGCUUGGCUGAGUCGGAGGGGAGAGCAAAAAAAGAGGGGAGAGGGAAGGGCUGGAAAGUCACCUGAGUCAGAGAGAACAGGAGCCCCUGGGGCUCCAGCGGGUGCACGGCGCACCUGCACAGACACCUGCACACCUGCGGCCGGCCAGGUGAGACCACGAGACUGCAUCUGCACGCCUGGAGCAUCGGAGACCAUCUCGCCACCUCCCCCGCUCCGCUCCCUGACCUCCCCAAGCUGCCACCCUCCCCUGCCCGUCAGACCCUUGCCCUCCACUGAGCACAGCAAGCACACUGAGCUGGAUGGGUCUCGUCAGGUGAAGCGCCGGGGCGAGGUGAGGUGAGGGGGGGGGUGCCCACAGCAAGCUCUUUUUGUGCAC
rnacentral:lncRNA from 1 species